GCGGGUGUAACUCAGUGGUAGAGUGCAACCUUCCCAAGGUUGAAGUCGCGAGUUCGAGUCUCGUCACCCGCUCCA
rnacentral:tRNA from 1 species